GUCGUUUCAAAGCUGUGCUGUAGUUCCCUAUUGGCUAUCAGAUGUGACAUCAAGACGUGAAGGGAAUUCCAUACUUGUGGACAGAAUUACCUGCUCAGCCCUGCGCAGCUUUAAAAUCAGGUGCAGCAUUUCAGCCCUCAGGUGACAAAGGCGCGGCUCUGACUACAACCUCAGAAUCUGAUUAUGAAUCAGAAGGUGACCUAAUGACAACAUCGCAGGCUACGUCACACGUGGCCGUCUGCCAUCGGCUCAGCAGAUUAUCACAGCUGUGAUCAGAGAGCUUACAUCAGCCUCAUGUGUGUGUUUCUGGCAGCCCGGGGAUGCAGUCAUAAGAGGGGUCUAAUGAAGGCCUGACAGCCAUAUGCUGCAUAUUUAAACACCAAAAACAAUAUAAAGGAAGAUGAUUGCAAAUUGUUAAACAUCUACUUUGAAUUUAUUAUUUAUUAGUGCAACAAUGCAAAGAUCAAUUAUGUUUUUCUUUUCUGCAAAUGACCCAUUAUGUGUUGUUUGGUGUUAAAUUGUUAAAUUUGCAAUUUAACACUAACAUGUCCUCAAAAAUGCCUUACAAAUAGGUUAUACAUACUUUAUUACACAUUAAAUGCCAAACUUAAUCCAGGUAAAUUCAACUGUUUGAGUUUUGCUCAGUAAACAAAACAUAAGCCUUUUGAUUUUGGUAUGUUUGAAGGUGAUAUGAAUGAGCUUAAGCACAUUCUUCCCGCUGCUCUUUUUAACAUGCUUUUCUUCCUACCAGAAGUGGCUGCCACUGAUAAGCAGAUUAGACUCAAGCAGAUUAAAACAUGGUCACGGGAUAAUCCUGGGCCAAAUUAUACGCAGCGCUCCAAAUCUGCACGGUCAUCAAGUGAAAGUACACAGAGUCAAUAUACAUCUUUGCUGUGUCUUAUCCAACAAAGCAACACUUUAAAAAAAAUAUGAAAAAGUCAUGCAGUUGGAAUACAUAGAGUAUUGAUAGGGGUGGCUGGAUUUCUUUUGGUGUCGGUGCAAAUAAUGCACCAACACAAUUUGAGUUUCAGUCACAAAUCUGAAACAUGCACCUGUCAAGUGCAUCAAGUAACAUUUUACAGCUCCAAUCCCUGUAAAAGCGACAACAGCUGAUACAGUUACAGUUAUAAUCCAUCAGCUGCACUGUUUUGGCACUAUGGGGAAAUGUCGCAGCCCAUUUCAGGAUGGUGCAGAGCGUUGGUUUCUGAGCAAGGCUGAUGCUCUGCGUGUGUGCGUUUGUACCAGUGACCGAGUCAACAUGCAGCUGCUCCACUUUGUAGGUCACUGUGCUUCCCAGGCUGGGGCACGUGACCGCCGUGUUCAGAGUCCUCUGCUGCCACCCGGCGGAGGGAGCAAACACUGCAUGCAGCUUGUGGCAACUUCUGUGAAAAUCCAUUUCAGAGUUUUCCUCUCUGACUUUCAGAUGCUGUUUUUCACAGCGAUUCCACACUAGCCCUAAUGAAUUUAUUAAUCUGUAAUCAGGUGAUUAGGUAUUAUGUUAGAGAUAAGCAAUUAUUAUAUUUGCUCCCCUUACAGAUUUGACCUUAUUUUCUCUUAGAAGAAACCAUAGAAGCUUUAGGUAAAUAGUUAUAAUCGCAACAAGAGCUACAAUGACAUUGAUCUUAAACCCCCCCCAUAAAAUAAGCAAAACUUAGGUUUUUUUUAAGGUAGCAAAGUUGCUUUGAAUAUUAACAUUAAGUCCCUCCUCCCCAUACAGUGCAAGUUCUUUAAAAACUAUUGUAAAUAAUUAUAAAAAAGAUAAUUUAUCCGUUUUCAAACGGUUAUGUAACGUCUGGCUUUAAAAUUUCAUUUAGUUGGAUUGAGGGUAUAAGUGUCUAAAAAUAAGAUUAAAAGUAAGGAUUGUAAAGGCUAAACAUACAAAAUAUAUCCCAAAAUAACGAUUACUGAAAUGUCGAUGUUUGUGACAUCACAUCAUUUAUUUACAAAAAAAAAAACUGAAGGAAAAAAAAAACCCCAAAAUGGUGGAAAAAUAGCCCAAUAGACCUAAAAAGUACAAGUUAAACAGGAAAUGCACAUGACACCAAUUACAUGACAUGUUGCCAGACGACAUUGUUGAUGCAAAAAAAAAAAAAGGGGAAGAAAAA